rnacentral:rRNA from 1 species
GAUGAACGCUGGCGGCGUGCCUAAUACAUGCAAGUCGAGCGAACAGAUGAUGAGCUUGCUCCUCUGACGUUAGCGGAGGACGGGUGAGUAACACGUGGAUACCCCACCUAUAAGACUGGGAUAACUUCGGGAAACCGGAGCAAAUACCGGAUAAUAUAUUGAACCGCAUGGUUCAAUAGUGAAAGACGGUUUUGCUGUCACUUAUAGAUGGAUCUGCGCCGCAUUAGCUAGUUGGUAAGGUAACGGCUUACCAAGGCUACGAUGCGUAGCCGACCUGAGAGGGUGAUAGGCCACACUGGAGCUUAGACGCGGUCCAUACUACUGCGGGAGGGAGCAGUAGGGUAUCUUCCGCAGUAGGCGAGAGUAUGACGGAGCGACGCCGCGUGAGUGAUGGAGGUCUUCGGAUCGUAAUACUCUGUUAUUAGGGAAGAACAAAUGUGUAAUUAACUAUACACGUCUUGACGGUACCUAAUCAGAAAGCCACGGCUAACUACGUG